CUAACACAUGCAAGUCGAGCGGUAACAGAAAGUAGCUUGCUACUUUGCUGACGAGCGGCGGACGGGUGAGUAAUGCUUGGGAACAUGCCUUGAGGUGGGGGACAACAGUUGGAAACGACUGCUAAUACCGCAUAAUGUCUACGGACCAAAGGGGGCUUCGGCUCUCGCCUUUAGAUUGGCCCAAGUGGGAUUAGCUAGUUGGUGAGGUAAUGGCUCACCAAGGCGACGAUCCCUAGCUGGUUUGAGAGGAUGAUCAGCCACACUGGGACUGAGACACGGCCCAGACUCCUACGGGAGGCAGCAGUGGGGAAUAUUGCACAAUGGGCGCAAGCCUGAUGCAGCCAUGCCGCGUGUGUGAAGAAGGCCUUCGGGUUGUAAAGCACUUUCAGUCAGGAGGAAAGGUUAGUAGUUAAUACCUGCUAGCUGUGACGUUACUGACAGAAGAAGCACCGGCUAACUCCGUGCCAGCAGCCGCGGUAAUACGGAGGGUGCGAGCGUUAAUCGGAAUUACUGGGCGUAAAGCGUACGCAGGCGGUUUGUUAAGCGAGAUGUGAAAGCCCCGGGCUCAACCUGGGAACUGCAUUUCGAACUGGCAAACUAGAGUGUGAU
rnacentral:rRNA from 1 species